GCUGCCGUGUAGCGUACGGAUAAGACGAAAGCUUUGUUUAUAAUUGUAUUAAAACUGCUCAGCCAGAUAAAAUUGGUGAAUGUAGUGAAGGAUGUCAAUCAUUCCCGCUGCUACGCAGCUAAUUUCAUAAGUAAAUGCCAUAAACAGCAAAAAAUGAAAAAAGACGAAGAAGAAGUAAUUCUUUCUGGUCGAGAUCAAUGGAUUUCGGUCGCAGGAGCGUGUUUUUGUGAAGUGCAUUUUGAAGAAAACCAGUUUGAAUGUUCUAGGAAAGAUGGGUUUAAAAAACUAAAGCC